rnacentral:rRNA from 1 species
AGUUCGAUUCUGGCUCAGAUUGAACGCUGGCGGGAUGCUUUUACACAUGCAAGUCGAACGGCGGCACGGACUUCGGUCUGGUGGCGAGUGGCGAACGGGUGAGUAAUGUAUCGGAACGUGCCUAGUAGCGGAGGGAUAACUACGCGAAAGCGUAGCUAAUACCGCAUACGCCCUUCGGGGGAAAGCGGGGGACCUUCGGGCCUCGCACUAUUGAAGCGGCCGAUAUCGGAUUAGCUAGUUGGUGGGGAAUUAACGGCUCACCAAGGCGACGAUCCGUAGCUGGUUUGAGAGGACGACCAGCCACACUGGGACUGAGACACGGCCCAGACUCCUACGGGAGGCAGCAGUGGGGAAUUUUGGACAAUGGGGGAAACCCUGAUCCAGCCAUCCCGCGUGUGCGAUGAAGGCCUUCGGGUUGUAAAGCACUUUUGGCGGGAAGAAAACGGCACGGGAUAAUACCCCGUGCAACUGACAGUACCUGCAGAAUAGCCUCGGCCUAACUACGUGCCAGCAGCCGCGGUAAUACGUAAGUGCAAGCGUUAAUCGGAAUUACUGGGCGUAAAGCGUGCGCAGGCGGUUCGGAAAGAAAGAUGUGAAAUCCCAGAGCUUAACUUACAAGAACUGCAUUUUUUAACUACCGAGCUAGAGAGUGUGUCAGAGGGAGGUGGAAUUCCGCGUGUAGCAGUGAAAUGCGUAGAUAUGCGGAGGAACACCGAUGGCGAAGGCAGCCUCCUGGGAUAACACUGACGCUCAUGCACGAAAGCGUGGGGGAGCAAACAGGAUUAGAUACCUGGUAGUCCACGCCCUAAACGAUGUCAACUAGCUGUUGGGGCCUUCGGGCCUUGGUAGCGCAGCUAACGCGUGAAGUUGACCGCCUGGGGAGUACGGUCGCAAGAUUAAAACUCAAAGGUGUGAGGACCCGCACAAGCGGUGGAUGAUGUGGAUUAAUUCGAUGCAACGCGAAAAACCUUACCUACCCUUGACAUGUCUGGAAUCCCGAAGAGAUUUGGGAGUGCUCGCAAGAGAACCGGAACACAGGUGCUGCAUGGCUGUCGUCAGCUCGUGUCGUGAGAUGUUGGGUUAAGUCCCGCAACGAGCGCAACCCUUGUCAUUAGUUGCUACGAAGGGCACUCUAAUGAGACUGCCGGUGACAAACCGGAGGAAGGUGGGGAUGACGUCAAGUCCUCAUGGCCCUUAUGGGUAGGGCUUCACACGUCAUACAGUGGUCGGACAGAGGGGUCGCCGAUGCCCGAAGACAAUCCCGAAACCCAGUCGUAGUCCCGGAUCUACAGUCUUGCAGCCUCGACGCGUGAAGUCGGAAUCGCUAGUAAUCGCGGAUCGGCAUGUCGCGGUGAAUGCGUUCCCGGGUCUUGUACACACCGCCCGUCACACCAUGGGAGUGGGUUUUACCAGAAGUAGUUAGCCUAACCGUAAGGAGGGCGAUUACCACAUUAGGAUUCAUGACUGGGGUGAAGUCGUAACAAGGUAA